rnacentral:lncRNA from 1 species
UGGUCAUAGGUCUAAGGAUCACUUGUACAAUUCUCACUUAGAGAACUAUCUUUUGACAUGCAAGUAAGACUCCAUAAAAUAUUCUAUAUUGGCAGAUUAAUUUAGUGAAUCUAUUUCCUAAUAAGCAUCCAUAUUUUUGUAUUAAUGUCCCAUACAAGUGGCUUGUGAGAUCAUCCACCCUCUCCAUCAAGCAUACAUAGGAUGUGCCAGUCUAUAUG